AUACUUACCAGGCAGGUGAGAUAUUGUGAUUAUGAAGGUGGUUUACCCAGAUUGGGGCUUAUCCAUUGCACUCUGGAUAUUCUGACCCCUGUGACGUCCCCUAAUGUGGAAAACCCAAUGGCAUAAUUUGUGGUAGUGAGGAACUUCGUUUGCACUCUCCCUCA
ensembl:snRNA U1 U1 spliceosomal RNA